rnacentral:lncRNA from 1 species
UUUUUUGAAAAAAUUUUGAAAACUAAACAAAGCCUCAGAAUACGAAUAUGCCAUUGACAUGAACAAACUGCAUACCAAAACGGAGAGCAAGAUUGUCCUCAUAACAAAAUGUCAAUGAAAGAGGGAGAGAGAAAUUUGCAAUUCAAACAUGCUCAGCAGCAACAAUACUACAGUAGUACUGCAAUGCACCACUCUACUGUAGUACACUAGACAGGCAGCUAAACGACAAAACAGCCAAGUACCCACACUCCACUCACUGUCCACUCCACUCCACAGGAUAAGCACAGAGCGGAGCAGCACGGUCAAAAAACCAAACCGGAGCAUGAUUAGCAGGCCAUCACAGAGCAGCUUAGACAGAUUAAGCAGCGUCGCUAUCAGAGAGGUCAAACACUCCAAAGCAGCACACACCGGCAAUCCAAUCGUUAAAAAAACAAAUCACCAUCCAUUAAUUGUACACAUCUGACAUUAGCUUAGCUUAGCUUAAUUAAUCCACUCAGCAGCAGGAGAAGCCUAGCUUACAACAACAACAGGAACAACAACACAAGCAGCAGCAGCAGCAGCAGGGCACAGAGAACAAAGCCUAAUUACCCGAUUAAUUGUACGAGAGCAGCCUGAUUACGACGAACAAUUAGAGGAAAUUAAGUGAAGCGAAGAAGCGAACCCUAGAAUUAAUUAACAGCCAUAUCCCAAUUACGCCCUAACCCUAGAGACGCCGGAGACUGGGGUGGUUUGUUUGGUCAGGCCGCCGCCGUCUCGCUAGGGACGGUGGGGCGUACCUUGGGCGGCCGGCCNNN